CCGGUUGCUGUAAUUUUCAUAGACAGCUUUGUUGGCCUUGGACAAAGUAGGUGGAGCAAACUGCUGUGAAAUGUUUCUUUAUCUCAUCACAGGUGCCUUUUGAUUGGUGUAAUGGGGAGGCUGGUGGCUGUGCAACCUGGUGUCAGAGCAUUUCGUAUUAUUCUAUACGCAAAUCGAGACACUCCAUUUAGUAUAUGUUACUUUUCGUAUGAAUAAGGCUGUUACAAAAUGUGGGAAAGGGGAAGGGGUCUGUAUACUUUCCAAAUGCA
ensembl:lncRNA